CUUGUUGAGAUUUAAUAUUCAUCUCUGUUAAUUUAAUUCUGACUGUAUACAUGAGGUGUUCUAUAUCAGAGAUAGAUUUUAUAUUUGUUAGUUUAUAAGUAAUAAGGAUAUUAUUCUCCCUCACCUGAGUUUUUACCCCUAGGGUGAUAUGAUGAAAACCAAAUGGAAACAUCCCUUACAUAUGUAGCUGGACACUCCGUUAGUGAGGGACAGAGAAAAAUAGAUUCUCUCCUUCUACACAGAACAGCUGAGUUCCCUUUCUUCUUCUAAAAGGAGGGAGAAAAACCUUUGCUGUGUACAAGUGAGAUGGAAAGGAUCCUGGGUCUCACUCUGACCUCAUGGAAUGUAUACGCAUCUUGUCAGGGACCACAUAAACCCUGUGUAUCUCUCUGGCUUUUAUGACCUACAGAUGUCUCCAAGGUGCUGGACCUCAUUUUCUUUUGAAAUGUAAAUACAUACCUUCAGAGCUAGGUAAGUCUCUCUGGAAUUCUCUUACCAUCUUAUUCCAGGAUUCCAGGUUUUCAACAGAAUUUAUUCAGAAAGCCCAGAUGGCAUAGAAACAUAAGAAUAUUCUGUCUGCAUUCCACAGCAUCACAAAUGCAGAUUAGAAACAGUGGUGUUUUCAUUAAGGAAGCUUCUGUGAUAUGGUUGGAUUACAUAGUUUAAGACUCUGCCUUUCUGAGGAUCCUGGAGAGUCUAGGAACUGCUUUACAUCCUAUAAUAAAGUCUUUUUCUGUUUAAACUAAACAAAGAUUCUUUUGCAUUUGCAACUAAGAUUCCCAGCUGAUAACAACACCACAUUUAUAUUAUAAAACAGGCAUAUAAAGUUACAUAUUAUUUAAGUAACCAUGAAACAUACAUAUUUAGUAAAACUGAAAAACAUGUCUAAGAAUAAGAAAUACAUUAAAUUCAAGAUCACCUGAUAUUUACUGUGGAGGUUGGGGGAAGAAUUGUGAUUGGUAUGGAGUAAUAGGAAGCACAAGCAUGAUGGUAAUGUUUUAUUUAUUAUGAGUGAAGGGUACAGGCAUAGUCACUAUGUUUAUGAGGUAUAUGUGCUUGUGUACAUAUAUAAUAUAUACAUAUUGCAUAAUAAAUGAUAUUGCAUAAUAAAUAUAAAAAUACUUAAAUGAAAAUCUUUAAGUGCAAACAUAAGCUGCUGCAACAAAGAGCUUCUCAAAUAACUUGGCUUAAAGAAAAACAUGAAUUUAUUCCUCUCUCACAUGAGAAUCCUUAGAGAAACAAUGCAGGUUCUUGGGAUAUCUCUGCUCCACACUGUCAUGCAGGGACUCACAUUUCUUCCCUCCUUAUUACUCCCUCCUCCCACAGGGCACUGUUAUCAUCUGCCUGGUAAGAACACAGAUGUGCAUGUCUCAGCUCACAGAAAGGGAGAAAAAAUCAUAAACGUCCAAGGUUAAAGUAAGACCGAAACCAGGAAGUGACUCACAUCACCCCUAGUCACUUGGCAGUAGAAAGAACUGAUGUCUGUGCCAGACCAGGCUGCAAGGGUGGGUGGGAAAUGUCUUUCCAGCCAGAUAUGUGCCCAGCUCCAAUUUUCUUGCUAGGAAACAAGCAAAGAAAUGGCUUUUGAUGAAAACUAACAGUUUUUUUCCAAAAGGACUUAAUGAGAACUGUGUACAAAAAAUGAUUUAAUGAGACAUAAAUACCAAAGUACAGUUUUCUUUCCUGCUCACAAAUCUCAAAUAUUAUAUCACAUUUAAUCUUAUUUCAGAAGUAAAAUUCUGCAUCUUAAGAGUCAGAAUAACUCCAGAGAUAAACUGUAUCUGACCCUUAGUGUGCAGAAGGACUUUAUGUGAGUAACAAUGUACUUAAGACUUAAAAAGGAAAGUUAAGAGCUUUCAUAAUCCUCUUUAUCGGAACUCAUGCCAUUAUUUACCAGUUUUCUCUAUGAGGAAAUCUAGUUGUCUGCUGUACAAGUCUUUCUCUGGUUUGGCUUGGUUUUAAAUUCACUUUUCAGUUGCAUGUUAUCACUUAUCUUCUCAUAACAAAGAAUGAAGAGGAGGAAAAUUAUCAUUAUUAUUUUUGUAUGUGUUAGAACUUGGGAAAAUCUUCCCCAAAUUAAGAAAAGGUUACAUUGACAACAGUGUGUCUAAAUUAUUCUCCCCAACUAACUACUACUGAUUACUGGCCAUUCUUCUGUAAAAGCAAAGGUUUGCUUAAGCAGAAUUCUAGAUGUUUUGCAAAUUAGUUUGUGCAUUUGGCACAGAUUCUCUCUUCUGAUUUUUAAAUUUUUCUCUGAAUAUUUUUGAAUAAGACAGCUUUUAGAUAGAAAAAUGUGGUUAUUUCCACCUACUCUACUCUUUCAGCUACAAGAGACCCAGAAAGAAAAUCAAAAUAAUAGAGUCCCUCCCACCCCCAUCCCAGUUGACUAGUAAGAUUUCAGUAGGUUGGGACUUAAAUUGGAGUCAUAAUUUUAGGUUUGGGAUCACACAGAUUAAUAAGAUACCAAAGAUUCAGGUUCGACCUGAAAUAUUCCAUAUUAAUAUGUCUUACCAUGACCACUACAACGUAUCUUUCCUUUCAUAUCUUGAUAACAUCAUUUUUCUUCUUUUUAAGGUUGGACAUAAAAUCUUGAUGGAUUUGCAUUUUUUAAAUCAUCUGUUGUUAAUUGUGCCUUCCAAAUUGUUGCAUGUGGGUCAGAUGACAUUUUUGUAUCAUUACUUUUAUGUCUUACGUCCUUGUGCUUUGAUGCUGGACAACUUGGAGCAGUUCCUGGACACUGUUUCUACACUGAGCACCGCUGGGAAAAUCAUUCUCUGGCUCCUUGAGGAGGAAGAGGAAGAACAGCUAUGGGGACUGCCGGCACUCUCGUGGCACAUGGUGUAGAGAAAAUGGAGGUUCCUGUGGCCAGGAUUCCCACCUGACCCCGGUGGGCUCACUCACUGAACACGUGCAGGCAAUGUAUUAUACUGACCGUAUAAAGAGCCCCGCCCAGGGCUCCGGGCUGCGCAGCUGCAGGAAAGCAGAGCCUGGAGUGGUGGCAGCACUGAGGACAGAGACGGCUGCGGCGGCGGAGAGGCCCAGAGGCAGGGACCGGCUUCCUGCAUCCAGACUCGCUCUGGGUGAACAGGAUUCUAGUGCUUGACCUGCCACCGGGGGAGUAAAGUUGGGUAAAAACCCUUUCACUCUAUGAACAUUCCAUUGUCAUUUUUCGGUCUCACCAAAUCAAGAGUGAACUUGCCUGGGACUGAAACCCACUGUUAAAACAAAGGGGAGUCGACUUUAGGAUAAACUGGACACCACAGAAAGCAGACAGACGAGACAGAAAGAUUCUAGACUUUUAUACCCUAAGGCCAGUCCUCACUUGAAGAUUGACCUACCUUUGACCUUUUCAGAUCUCAAGCGAAAAAGUUCCUUCCUUUCCCAGUUUGAGGUAAGUUUUUUAUUAGCUAUAAUACAAAGAACCUGGUACUAUGAAUAUCCUUCACAGUGUGUAAAGGGAUCAUUUUCUCAAAAUCUACUUAAUAUUGGUUAUCAUUAUAUAUUGGCUGAUGUCACAGAAAUCACAUUGUGUCUCAUGUUGAUUUGUAUGGUUUUUUGACUGCUAGUGAAGUUAAACAUAUUGCAUUGGACCAUCAGCACAAUCUAAUU